rnacentral:tRNA from 2 species
GCUAGGAUAGUUUAACAAAAACAUUAGGCUGUGACUCUAAUAAUAGAACUUAUGUUCUUCCUGGCC